AAGUGGAGCAUUAACCUAAAACAAUAGCAACUUAGACCAUUUGUUGAAGUAGUCACUACACUAUUUUAAUCUCCGGUUCAAUUUGUUGAACUUUAUAAUGUUUUGCUAUUUUGAUCCGCGUUGCUUUAUAUUAUAUUGGUGUGGUUUCAGGAGAAGACAGAUCGAGACACAAAACAAGGCAAGAUCGUUACUGACAUUUUAUGCUGGACACUAGAUAAUUGUUCACCAGGACAUGUGAUAAUAAAACCUCCAUGACUUCGUGGCUGCUUUUUCAUUAUAUAUAGUUUAGGUCACCAUCUUGUCGUAGCACAACCUGAAAACGCAAUACCUUCUCCUGAAACGGAAAAUAUUUGUUGGGAAGACCUAUCAUUUGGAAAGUACUUAUGCCCGUCAAGGCUCACAAUUUAGACGAAACGAUCCACCAACAACUUAAGCUUUGAGUCUUUGACCAUAAGUGCGAGACGAUUUUCUUGUAUUGUUAAUUUGUUAUUGCUUGUUUUUGUGAACUGAUCCUUAGUUUUUUUUUUCAUCAAAAGUGAUCAUUUAGUUAAAGACUUAAAGUGCAAUGAGA
rnacentral:misc_RNA from 1 species